UGGGGAAUUUUGGACAAUGGGCGAAAGCCUGAUCCAGCAAUGCCGCGUGUGUGAAGAAGGCCUUCGGGUUGUAAAGCACUUUUGUCCGGAAAGAAAUCCUUGGCUCUAAUACAGUCGGGGGAUGACGGUACCGGAAGAAUAAGCACCGGCUAACUACGUGCCAGCAGCCGCGGUAAUACGUAGGGUGCAAGCGUUAAUCGGAAUUACUGGGCGUAAAGCUGCGCAGGCGGUUUGCUAAGACCGAUGUGAAAUCCCCGGGGCUCAACCUGGGAACUGCAUUGGUGACUGGCAGGCUAGAGUAUGGCAGAGGGGGGUAGAAUUCCACGUGUAGCAGUGAAAUGCGUAGAGAUGUGGAGGAAUACCGAUGGCGAAGGCAGCCCCCUGGGCCAAUACUGACGCUCAUGCACGAAAGCGUGGGGAGCAAAACAGGAUUAGAUACCCUGGUAGUCCACGCCCUAAACGAUGUCAACUAGUUGUUGGGGGAUUCAUUUCCUUAGUAACGUAGCUAACGCGUGAAGUUGACCGCCUGGGGAGUACGUCGCAAGAUUAAAACUCAAAGGAAUUGACGGGGUCAUAGCUGUUUCCU
rnacentral:rRNA from 1 species